GGGGGCGGUCUGGAUAAAAGCCACUACCAAAGCGCUAUAGGAGAAAACCAAACCAUCAGCGCGUUCAAUCAAUCUUAGUGUUUUGAACCCGCCUCCAGAUUGUUUUCCUGAAUUGUGGCUGCGCAGAGACUCCGGGGUGGGAUGAGAACCAAGACUGCCCCACUGCCUCCCUACCCGACUGACAUUGGACACGGAACAAGAGACCUGACAGGGUCCAACAGAGAAACGCGGAUGGGCUCAGAGCUUCUUUCCAGACCCGCCAGUCUCUGGUGCAACAGAUGAUGUCCGGGAAGAGGCGGAGCCAGGUGUGACAGUUCUGAGGGCCAAAGACAGCCGUUGGGUUAAUCAAUUGUUCUUUGGAGCAGCUUGGACACCUUUAGAGGGUGGGCUCUAUAGGUGAAAGAACGGCAGGCGGACCGACCAGAAGUUCGUGCUCUGAUGGCCGGGGAUGUGCAGAACUAGAGGAUGCGGAGCCGAUUGACAGCAGGCCUGAGAGAGAGAUCGAGCACUCACAGCCCAACAAAACAAUCAUCUGCUCUGCUGGAGUCAAGCAGCAGGUGCAGCUGGCAAUCUAACCUGCUGCUAGGUUUGCCAUCACCGUCCUUGGGUGACAAAACCAGAAAAAAGCAUGUGAGUAUGGCUGCUCCUGAAUUACUCUGCUGUGCCUGAUGCCAUCAACAGCAGC
rnacentral:lncRNA from 1 species